rnacentral:rRNA from 1 species
UUUUCAAAUCUACCUGGAGGAGCUUGCUAUUUAACCGAUAACCCGCGAAAUACCUCACCAGUUUUAGCAACACCAGCUUGUAUACCAUCGUCGUCAGUUUACCUUUCGAAAGAAGUAAACAUAAAGGGAUAAACCCCUCAACGUCAGAUCGAGGUGCAGCUAAUAGACUGGGAAUCAGUGAGCUACAAUAAAUUGCACAAACCAAAAUCAUAUUUGAAUUACCUCAUGAAAUUGAAGUAUAAAAAAGGAUUCAGAAGUAAUGCUUAACAGAGAGUAAGCAUGAAAUAAUUUAAGCUCUGAAAUACGU